GACGAACGCUGGCGGCGUGCCUAAUACAUGCAAGUUGAACGCUGAAGACUGGUACUUGUACCAGUUGGAUGAGUAGCGAACGGGUGAGUAACGCGUGGGUAACCUACCUCUUAGCGGGGGACAACUAUUGGAAACGAUAGCUAAUACCGCAUAACAAUACUUAACACAUGUUAAGUAUUUGAAAGCACCAAUUGGUGCACUAAGAGAUGGACCCGCGUUGUAUUAGCUAGUUGGUAGUGUAAUGGACUACCAAGGCGAUGAUACAUAGCCGACCUGAGAGGGUGAUCGGCCACAUUGGGACUGAGACACGGCCCAAACUCCUACGGGAGGCAGCAGUAGGGAAUCUUCGGCAAUGGACGAAAGUCUGACCGAGCAACGCCGCGUGAGUGAAGAAGGUUUUCGGAUCGUAAAACUCUGUUGUUAGAGAAGAACGUCAGUGAGAGUGGAAAGUUCACUGAGUGACGGUAUCUAACCAGAAAGGGACGGCUAACUACGUGCCAGCAGCCGCGGUAAUACGUAGGUCCCGAGCGUUGUCCGGAUUUAUUGGGCGUAAAGCGAGCGCAGGUGGUUUAAUAAGUCUGAUGUAAAAGGCAGUGGCUCAACCAUUGUGU
rnacentral:rRNA from 1 species